rnacentral:rRNA from 1 species
AUGAACGCUGGCGGCGUGCCUAAUACAUGCAAGUCGAGCGAACAGACGAGGAGCUUGCUCCUCUGACGUUAGCGGCGGACGGGUGAGUAACCCGUGGAUAACCUACCUAUAAGACUGGGAUAACUUCGGGAAACCGGAGCUAAUACCGGAUAAUAUAUUGAACCGCCUGGUUCAAUAGUGAAAGACGGUUUUGCUGUCACUUAUAGAUGGAUCCGCGCCGCAUUAGCUAGUUGGUAAGGUAACGGCUUACCAAGGCAACGAUGCGUAGCCGACCUGAGAGGGUGAUCGGCCACACUGGAACUGAGACACGGUCCAGACUCCUACGGGAGGCAGCAGUAGGGAAUCUUCCGCAAUGGGCGAAAGCCUGACGGAGCAACGCCGCGUGAGUGAUGAAGGUCUUCGGAUCGUAAAACUCUGUUAUUAGGGAAGAACAAAUGUGUAAGUAACUAUGCACGUCUUGACGGUACCUAAUCAGAAAGCCACGGCUAACUACGUG